rnacentral:rRNA from 1 species
UCAAGUUGAAAAGGGUAUACGGCGGAUGCCUUGGUACCAGCAGGCGAUGAAGGACGUGGUUAACUGCGAUAAGCCUCGGGAAGCCGUAAGCAGGCUUUGAUCCGGGGAUCUCCGAAUGGGGGAACCCACCCGAGUAAACCUCGGGUAUCCUGAUCUCAAUACAUAGGAUCAGGCGGCCAGACGGGGGGAACUGAAACAUCUAAUUACCCCCAGGAAAAGAAAGUAAGAACGAUUCCCUAAGUAGCGGCGAGCGAACGGGGAUGAGCCCAAACGUACGAGGUGUGAUAACCGGCAGGUGUUGCCUCAUGCGGGUUGCGGGGCCUGACAGAUCUGCACUGCCGUGCAGGUAAGAAGUUACAAAAUCAAUCAUUAGCCAAAGUGAGCUUGGAAAACUCCACCACAGAGGGUGAUAGUCCCGUAAGCGAAAGUGAUCGAUCUUCUUUGUCAGGUUCCCAAGUAGCACGGGAUAAGAGAAGCCCUGUGUGAAGCCGGGAGGACCACCUCCCAAGGCUAAAUACUAGCUGGUGACCGAUAGUGAACUAGUACCGUGAGGGAAAGGUGAAAAGAACCCCGGGAGGGGAGUGAAAUAGUACCUGAAACCGUAUACCUACAAGCAGUGGAAGCACCAUUGAGAACAGCUUGCUGUUAACAGGUGUGACCGCGUGCUUUUUGUAUAAUGAGCCGGCGAGUUACGUUAGCCAGCCAGGUUAAGCAGCGUCUGCUGCGAAGCCGCAGCGAAAGCGAGUCUGAAUAGGGCGAUUUAGUUGGUUGACGUAGACCCGAAACCGGGUGAUCUAUCCAUGGCCAGGGUGAAGCCUGUUUGAACGCAGGUGGAGGCCCGAACCCACUAAUGUUGAAAAAUUAGGGGAUGAGCUGUGGAUAGGGGUGAAAGGCCAAUCAAACCCGGAGAUAGCUGGUUCUCCUCGAAAUAGCUUUAGGGCUAGCCUCAAACGUUGGCCUAUGGAGGUAGAGCACUGAAUGGACUAGGGGCCUUACCAGGUUACUGAAUCCAAUCAAACUCCGAAUGCCAUAGGUGCUAGUUUGGGAGUCAGACUGCGGGGGAUAAGCUUCGUAGUCGAAAGGGAAACAGCCCAGACCAUCAGCUAAGGUCCCCAAGUACAGGCUAAGUGGAAAAGGAAGUUGAAUUACAAAGACAGCCAGGAUGUUGGCUCAGAGGCAGCCAUCAUUUAAAAAGUGCGUAACAGCUUACUGGUUAAGCGAUUCUGCACCGAAAAAUGUCCGGGGCUAAGUCUGUCACCGAAGCUGUGGAUCCUACGGGAUGGUAGAGGAGCGUUCUCUACAGGCAGAAGGGUUACCGUAAGGAGGCCUGGACCGUAGAGAAGUGAGAAUGCCGGCAUGAGUAACGAUAAGGCAAGUGAGAAUCUUGCCCGCCGAAAACCUAAGGUUUCCUGGGGAAGGUAAGUCCGCCCAGGGUUAGUCGGGCCUAAGCCCAGGCCGAAAGGCGUAAGCGAUGGACAACCGGUCAAUAUUCCGGUACUACCGUAUGAUCGCUUUAAAGUGAUGGGGUGACACAGCAGGGUAGGUCAGCACGAUAAAAGUUCCGUGUCCAAGCCCUUAGAGGGAAAAGACAGGCAAAUCCGUCUUUUCGUUAACCUCAAGAGGUGAUAGGGAGCUGCUACGGCGGCGAACUGAUUGAUCCCACACUGUCGAGAAAAACCUCUAGCCAGAGCAUACGGUAUCCGUACUAAAACCGACACAGGUAGGUAGGUAGAGAAUACCAAGGCGCUCGAGAGAACCCUCGUUAAGGAACUCGGCAAAAUGACUCCGUAACUUCGGGAGAAGGAGUGCCUCAUUAGGGUGAGUUGUUUUACAUAACAAGCCCGAAGAGGUUGCAAUAAAACGGCCCAAGCGACUGUUUACUAAAAACACAGGUCUCUGCUAAAUCGCAAGAUGAUGUAUAGGGACUGACGCCUGCCCGGUGCUGGAAGGUUAAGGAAGGGAGUUAAUCUUCGGAUGAAGCCCCUAACCAAAGCCCCAGUAAACGGCGGCCGUAACUAUAACGGUCCUAAGGUAGCGAAAUUCCUUGUCGGGUAAGUUCCGACCCGCACGAAUGGCGUAACGAUU